rnacentral:rRNA from 1 species
GACGAACGCUGGCGGCGUGCUUAACACAUGCAAGUCGAACGGAAAGGCCUCUUUCGGGGGGUACUCGAGUGGCGAACGGGUGAGUAACACGUGAGUAACCUGCCCUUGACUUUGGGAUAACUUCAGGAAACUGGGGCUAAUACCGGAUAGGAGCUCCUGCUGCAUGGUGGGGGUUGGAAAGUUUCGGCGGUUGGGGAUGGACUCGCGGCUUAUCAGCUUGUUGGUGGGGUAGUGGCUUACCAAGGCUUUGACGGGUAGCCGGCCUGAGGGGGUGACCGGCCACAUUGGGACUGAGAUACGGCCCAGACUCCUACGGGAGGCAGCAGUGGGGAAUAUUGCACAAUGGGCGGAAGCCUGAUGCAGCAACGCCGCGUGCGGGAUGACGGCCUUCGGGUUGUAAACCGCUUUCGCCUGUGACGAAGCGUGAGUGACGGUAAUGGGUAAAGAAGCACCGGCUAACUACGUG